UGGGGCGUCGCCAAGCGGUAAGGCACCGGGUUUUGAUCCCGGCAUUCGUAGGUUCGAUUCCUGCCGCCCCAGCCA
rnacentral:tRNA from 1 species